rnacentral:rRNA from 1 species
AUUGAACGCUGGCGGCAGGCCUAACACAUGCAAGUCGAACGAGCGGCGGACGGGUGAGUAAUGUCUGGGUAACUGCCUGAUGGAAGGGGAUAAAUAAUGGUAACGGUAGUUAAUACCGCAUACUAUCAGAUGUGCCCAGAGGGGAUUAGCUAGUUGGUGGGGUAACGGCUCACGUAGGCGACGAUCCCUAGUCGGUCUGAGCGGCUGUCCAGCCACACGGGAAAUUAGAAACGGGCCAGACUCGUACGGGAGGCAGAAGUGGGGAAUAUUGCACAAUGGGCGCAAGCCUGAUGCAGCCAUGCCGCGUGUGUGAAGAAGGCCUUCGGGUUGUAAAGCACUGUCAGCGGGGAGGCGUUACCCGCAGAAGAAGCACCGGCUAACUCCGUGCCAGCAGCCGCGGUAAUAC